GACAUCCUGAGAUGCACGGAAAAGUAGCUUAUUAUAUUCAACCUACAUUACAUUUUCGGGAUCUGCGAUAGGUUUACGUAUAUUGGACUUCAGAAAUUUAUAAAUGAUACGCCGUAUUGAUUAUAGCAGAAGAUAAUAGAAGUAAAUUGAGCGGAGCCCACCUGCGAGCCGCAGGUUAUGAAUAUAUAAGUGAACGGCAUACUGGGAUAUUU
rnacentral:other from 1 species